UACGUAGGGCGCAAGCGUUGUCCGGAAUUAUUGGGCGUAAAGCGCGCGCAGGCGGUUUCUUAAGUCUGAUGUGAAAGCCCACGGCUCAACCGUGGAGGGUCAUUGGAAACUGGGGAACUUGAGUGCAGAAGAGAAAAGCGGAAUUCCACGUGUAGCGGUGAAAUGCGUAGAGAUGUGGAGGAACACCAGUGGCGAAGGCGGCUUUUUGGUCUGUAACUGACGCUGAGGCGCGAAAGCGUGGGGAGCAAACAGG
rnacentral:rRNA from 1 species